rnacentral:rRNA from 1 species
CCUACGGGUGGCUGCAGUGGGGAAUAUUGGACAAUGGGCGCAAGCCUGAUCCAGCCAUGCCGCGUGAGUGAUGAAGGCCUUAGGGUUGUAAAGCUCUUUCGCCAGGGACGAUAAUGACGGUACCUGGAUAAGAAGCCCCGGCUAACUUCGUGCCAGCAGCCGCGGUAAUACGAAGGGGGCUAGCGUUGUUCGGAAUUACUGGGCGUAAAGCGUAUGCAGGCGGACUUCUAAGUCGGGGGUGAAAUCCCGAGGCUCAACCUCGGAACUGCCUUCGAUACUGGAAGUCUUGAGUCCGGGAGAGGUGAGUGGAACUCCGAGUGUAGAGGUGAAAUUCGUAGAUAUUCGGAAGAACACCAGUGGCGAAGGCGGCUCACUGGCCCGGUACUGACGCUGAGAUACGAAAGCGUGGGGAGCAAACAGGAUUAGAUACCCGGGUAGUC